UGUGUCACUUGUGGAUGUGUAGAGU
rnacentral:miRNA from 1 species